rnacentral:rRNA from 1 species
UUCGAGUGGCGGACGGGUGAGUAACGCGUGGGUAACCUGCCUUACACAGGGGGGAUAACACCUGGAAACAGGUGCUAAUACCGCAUAAGCGCACAGGGCCGCAUGGCCCGGUGUGAAAAACUCCGGUGGUGUAAGAUGGACCCGCGUCUGAUUAGCUUGUUGGCGGGGUAACGGCCCACCAAGGCGACGAUCAGUAGCCGGCCUGAGAGGGCGGACGGCCACAUUGGGACUGAGACACGGCCCAGACUCCUACGGAAGGCAGCAG